rnacentral:sRNA from 1 species
GUGGUUCCUGGGUCUAAUUGCUGCUCCCCUCCCCGCACUUCAGGGCCCCCGUGGUUGUGUAGAGAGUCUGGAGGUGACCUGCAGACGGGCAGAUGCUGGAGAGAAGCCAAAGGCCUUUAUUCACUGGGUGUCACAGCCUUUGAUGUGUGAGGUUCGCCUCUAUGAGCGACUAUUCCAGCACAAGAACCCUGAAGAUCCUACUGAGGUGCCUGGUGGAUUUUUAAGUGACCUGAACCUGCUUGUCUUUAACCGAACUGUCACACUGAAGGAAGACCCGGGAAAGGUGUGAGCUGGAAACACUGAACCUACCUCAUCCUCCUGGAGGGUGGGGCUACCCUCGCUACCCCAAAUUCCAUGUCAAUAAAGAACAGCUAAAUUCUCCUAG